rnacentral:rRNA from 1 species
CCUACGUGAGGCAGCAGUGAGGAAUAUUGGUCAAUGGCCGGAAGGCUGAACCCGCCAUGCCGCGUGAAGGUCAGUGCCCUAUGGGCGUUAAACUUCUUUUGUGCGGGAGCAAUAAUGGUCACGUGUGGCCAGACGAGAGUACCGUACGAAUAAGCAUCGGCUAACUCCGUGCCAGCAGCCGCGGUAAUACGGGGGAUGCAAGCGUUAUCCGGAUUUAUUUGGUUUAAAGGGUGCGUAGGCUGUGAUGUAAGGCAGCGGUGAAAUGCCCCGGGUGAACGGGGUGAAGUGGCAUUGAUACUGCCUUGCUGGAAUGCGGAUGCAGUGGGAGGAAUGUGUGGUGUAGCGGUGAAAUGCAUAGAUAUCACACAGAACACCGAUUGCGAAGGCAUCUCACGAAUCCGCGAUUGACGCUGAUGCACGAAAGCGUGGGUAUCAAACAGGAGUAGAUACCCCUGUAGUC